rnacentral:rRNA from 1 species
AUUGAACGCUGGCGGCAUGCCUUACACAUGCAAGUCGAACGGUAACGCGGGGCAACCUGGCGACGAGUGGCGAACGGGUGAGUAAUGCAUCGGAACGUGCCCAGUCGUGGGGGAUAACGCAGCGAAAGCUGCGCUAAUACCGCAUACGAUCUAUGGAUGAAAGCGGGGGACCGUAAGGCCUCGCGCGAUUGGAGCGGCCGAUGUCAGAUUAGGUAGUUGGUGGGGUAAAGGCUCACCAAGCCAACGAUCUGUAGCUGGUCUGAGAGGACGAUCAGCCACACUGGGACUGAGACACGGCCCAGACUCCUACGGGAGGCAGCAGUGGGGAAUUUUGGACAAUGGGCGAAAGCCUGAUCCAGCAAUGCCGCGUGUGUGAAGAAGGCCUUCGGGUUGUAAAGCACUUUUGUCCGGAAAGAAAUGGCUCUGGUUAAUACCUGGGGUCGAUGACGGUACCGGAAGAAUAAGGACCGGCUAACUACGUGCCAGCCGCCGCAGUAAAAC